rnacentral:rRNA from 1 species
GCCUACGGGAGGCAGCAGUGGGGGAUAUUGGACAAUGGGGGAAACCCUGAUCCAGCGAUGCCGCGUGAGGGAAGAAGGUUUUCGGAUUGUAAACCUCUGUGGAGGGGGACGAUAAUGACGGUACCCCUUUAGGAAGCCACGGCUAACUACGUGCCAGCAGCCGCGGUAAUACGUAGGUGGCGAGCGUUGUCCGGAAUUACUGGGUGUAAAGGGAGUGCAGGCGGGAAAGCAAGUCAGAAGUGAAAAUCCGGGGCCCAACCCCGGAACUGCAUUGGAAACUGUUUAUCUAGAGUGUCGGAGAGGCG